rnacentral:misc_RNA from 1 species
UUUCCGUAGGUGAACCUGCGGAAGGAUCAUUCAUAAUAAAGUGUUUUAUGGCACUAUUUAAAAAUCCAUAUCCACCUUGUGUGCAAUGUUAGAUCUCGUCAAUCUUGGCGAGAUUUUUAUACAUCAACUCAUUCUUUAACUAAUUUGUCUGAAAAAUAUUAUGAAUACUUAAUUCAAAAUACAACUUUCAACAACGGAUCUCUUGGCUCUC